AACGCUGGCGGCGUGCCUAAUACAUGCAAGUCGAACGGUCUUUCUAUGGAAGCUUGCUUCCACUGAGAAGAUAGUGGCGAACGGGUGAGUAACACGUGGGUAACCUGCCCAUAAGAGGGGGAUAACAUCCGGAAACGGGUGCUAAUACCGCAUAGUUUUCUUGAUCGCAUGAUUGAGAAAGGAAGGACGGCCUUUGUGCUGUCGCUUAUGGAUGGACCCGCGGCGUAUUAGUUAGUUGGUGAGGUAAUGGCUCACCAAGACGAUGAUACGUAGCCGACCUGAGAGGGUGAUCGGCCACAUUGGGACUGAGACACGGCCCAAACUCCUACGGGAGGCAGCAGUAGGGAAUCUUCCGCAAUGGACGAAAGUCUGACGGAGCAACGCCGCGUGAGUGAAGAAAGGUUUUCGGAUCGUAAAACUCUGUUGUCAGAGAAGAACAAGUUGGAGAGUAACUGCUCCAGCCUUGACGGUAUCUGACCAGAAAGCCACGGCUAACUACGUGCCAGCCGCUGC
rnacentral:rRNA from 1 species